rnacentral:rRNA from 1 species
AUACGGAGGAUCCGAGCGUUAUCCGGAUUUAUUGGGUUUAAAGGGUGCGCAGGCGGCCAUUUAAGUCAGCGGUUAAAUCGUGGGGCUCAACCCCAUUCUGCCGUUGAUACUGGGUGGCUUGAUUGCGGUCGAGGUUGGCGGAAUUCGUUGUGUAGCGGUGAAAUGCAUAGAUAUGACGAAGAACACCGAUUGCGUAGGCAGCUGACCAGACCGCAAAUGACGCUCAUGCACGAAAGUGCGGGGAUCGAACAGGAUCAGAUACCCUGGUAGUCCGCACAGUAAACGAUGAAUACUUGUUCUCGGCGAUAUAAUGUCGGAGGCAAAGCGAAAGCGAUAAGUAUUCCACCUGGGGAGUACGCCGGCAACGGUGAAACUCAAAUGAAUUGACGGGG